GAGAUUUUCGCAAUGCCCGAAAGGGUGACGAAGCGACGCCGCGUGCGGGAAGAAGGCCUUCGGGUUGUAAACCGCUGUCGGGAGUUAAGAAAUGUAAGAAUGUUAAUAGCAUCUUUGCUUGACUAAGGCUCCGGAGGAAGCCACGGCUAACUCUGUGCCAGCAGCCGCGGUAAUACAGAGGCGGCAAGCGUUGUUCGGAAUUAUUGGGCGUAAAGAGCACGUAGGCGGCUAUGUAAGUCGGUUGUGAAAGCCUUCCGCUCAACGGGAGAACAGCAUCCGAUACUGCAUGGCUUGAGUGCGGGAGGGGAGAGUGGAACUUCUGGUGGAGCGGUGAAAUGCGUAGAUAUCAGAAGGAACGCCGGCGGCGAAAGCGGCUCUCUGGCCCAUAACUGACGCUGAGUGUGCGAAAGCUAGGGGAGCAAACGGGAUUAGAUACCCCGGUAGUCCUAGCCGUAAACGAUGGGCACUAAGUAGAGGGGUUUUA
rnacentral:rRNA from 1 species